rnacentral:lncRNA from 1 species
AUAUUGGCCUCAGCUCCUAGGCUGCAUUUAGCAGAUCGACCUAUGAGAACUUCUAUACUGAGACAAAGGAAAGGAUCCAUCAGAAAGUAACAUCUAUUAUCUUGAGCUUGGCAGAAGACCAAGGAUCAGAAUUCCCAGAAGAUGGUUCAUAAGAAAAAAGAAAGAGGAUGUGGGUGGAAUUAAUUAGCAGCUGCAUAACAGGUCAUGCAAAAUGGGGGGAAGAAUAAAAAUUUCCCAAAUAAUCAAAAUUGGAGCUCUAGCUUAUCAGGUCCCAGCUUCCCAGCUUACUUUUUAAAUCUCAAGCGAAUCACAACUAUACUGGAGCCAAAUUGAUUGAGCUGCCAUCACGAAGAGUUCUUCCCAAACUAUCCUUCCACUGGGUUCCUGUUUCCUUUAUUCCUUCAGAUAAGGAAAUAAUGAUAUUUCAAAUUAAAACCUUACUUAAAGUACAGGUAUAA